ACUCUCUGGAGAACACAUUAAGUUGUGUGCCGAAGGUGCAAGGCGUAAGCCGAAUCUCUCAGGCAAACGGACGGAGAAGAA
rnacentral:ncRNA from 1 species